GUGCUCACUUUGGCAGUACAUAUACUAAAAUUGGAAUGAUACAAAGAAGGAUCAUCAUGGCUCCAGAGCAAGGAUGACACACAAAUCCAUGAAGCACUCUAUACUUAA
ensembl:snRNA U6 U6 spliceosomal RNA